rnacentral:rRNA from 1 species
GCGGCAACAGCUCAAAUUUGAAAUCGGGUCUUUGGCCUGAGUUGUAAUUUGUAGAGGGUGCUUCGGCGUUGGCGUAAGCCUAGGUUCCUUGGAACAGGGCGUCAUAGAGGGUGAGAACCCCGUACGUGGCUGCUCGUCUCCGCCUCAAGAAGCCCCUUCGACGAGUCGAGUUGUUUGGGAAUGCAGCUCUAAAUGGGAGGUAAAUUUCUUCUAAAGCUAAAUACUGGCCAGAGACCGAUAGCGCACAAGUAGAGUGAUCGAAAGAUGAAAAGCACUUUGGAAAGAGAGUCAAAAAGCACGUGAAAUUGUUGAAAGGGAAGCGCUUGCAGCCAGACUUGCUUAUGGUUGCUCAUCCUGGAGCUAUCCGGGUGCACUCUUCUGUAAGCAGGCCAGCAUCAGUCCUGGCGGCUGGAUAAAGACCCACGUCAUGUACCUUCCCUUCGGGGUUGGCCUUAUAGGGUGGGUGAAAUGCAGCCAGCUGGGACUGAGGUCCGCGCAUUUGCUAGGAUGCUGGCGUAAUGGCUGCAAGCGGCCCGUCUUGAAACACGGACCAAGGAGUCUAACAUCUAUGCGAGUGUUUGGGUGUCAAGCCCGGGCGCGUAAUGAAAGUGAACGGAGGUGGGAACCCUCGGGUGCACCAUCGACCGAUCCUGAUGUCUUCGGAUGGAUUUGAGUAAGAGCAUAGCUGUUGGGACCCGAAAGAUGGUGAACUAUGCCUGAAUAGGGUGAAGCCAGAGGAAACUCUGGUGGAGGCUCGCAGCGGUUCUGACGUGCAAAUCGAUCGUCAAAUUUGGGCAUA